UCGUAUGUAUUUUUUGAAAGAAAGGGAUUAUAUCAAAGUACAUUGUGUCUGGCUUUUAUAAACUAACACCAUCUAGUACAGUUCUAUGCUGACACAACUUGGAAUAUUACCAUAGUUAAUUAUUAGAGAAAUUAAGCAACUACAAUCCAGAAAUGUACACACUUCUUUACUUUCAGCGGCUAAUUGGAAAGUUGGUAAAAUAAACCAUGUGGCUAUAGCAGUGCCUGAUAUAGAGAAAGCAACAGCUAUGUAUAGAG